UGCACUCAACACAGCUUCUCUGUAAUAUUUAUGCAAAUCUCCAUCUCCUCUUGUAAUAUUAGCACCGUGCUUAUCUAGAGAGGAAGCGCUUCUCAUUAGUCCUCCUUCAACACAAACAUGUUUGCUUCAGCUCCACUGCUGCUGCUGGCUCUCGCCCCCUAUGUGUUCUGUGCUACUGAGCUCAUCCAGCCAGACUCAGUGCUUAUAAAGCCAGGAGAGACUUUAACCAUCACCUGUAGAGUGUCUGGAGCUUCUAUCACUGACAGCAGCCACUAUGGAACAGCUUGGAUUCGACAACCUGCAGGAAAAGCUCUGGAGUGGAUCAAUUUAAUUUACUAUAAUGGGGAGAUUCGUCAGAAAGAUUCCCUUAAAAACAAGUUUGUCGUCUCUCGAGACACUUCCAGUAACACCGUGACCUUACGGGGACAGAACAUGCAGACUGAAGACACAGCUGUGUAUUACUGCGCUCGUGUUGCACACUGA